rnacentral:rRNA from 1 species
UACGUAGGGGGCAAGCGUUGUCCGGAUUUAUUGGGCGUAAAGAGCUCGUAGGCGGUUUGGUAAGUCGGGUGUGAAAUCUCCACGCUCAACGUGGAGGGGCCACUCGAUACUGCCAUGACUCGAGUCCGGUAGAGGAGUGUGGAAUUCCCGGUGUAGCGGUGAAAUGCGCAGAUAUCAGGAGGAACACCGGUGGCGAAGGCGGGUCUCUGGGCAGUAACUGACGCUGAGGAGCGAAAGCGUGGGGAGCGAACAGG